rnacentral:rRNA from 1 species
AUGGCCGUCUCUGCGAUUGGGUUCGAGGGAUAUGAGAAACGCCUGGAGAUCACUUUCUCUGAAGCGCCAGUCUUCACUGACCCCAAUGGCAGGGGAUUGCGUGCGCUCUCUCGUGCCCAGAUCGACUCGGUCCUUGAUCUUGCCAAGUGCACCAUUGUAUCUGAGCUCUCCAAUGAGAAGUUUGACUCGUAUGUCCUUUCUGAAUCAAGCCUCUUCGUGUACCCGUACAAGGUUGUGAUCAAGACCUGCGGUACCACCAAGCUCCUGCUGGCCAUUCCAAGGGUUCUUGAGCUUGCUGAGGAGCUGUCCCUGCCACUUGCUGCUGUGAAGUACUCCCGUGGGACAUUCAUAUUCCCUGAAGCACAGCCUUCUCCACACAAGAACUUCUCUGCCGAGGUUGCCUUCCUGAAUGGCUUCUUUGGUGGACUCAAGUCUGGCGGCAAUGCCUAUGUCAUUGGUGAUCCUGCAAAGCCAGGCCAGAAGUGGCAUGUCUACUAUGCCACCCAGCAGCCUGAGCAGCCUGUGGUCAACCUUGAGAUGUGCAUGACUGGUCUGGACAAGAAGAAAGCUUCUAUCUUCUUCAAGACCUCUGAUGAUGGCCACACAUCUUGUGCCAAGGAGAUGACCAAGCUCUCUGGCAUCUCUGAAAUAAUCCCGGAGAUGGAGAUCUGCGACUUUGAUUUCGAGCCAUGUGGCUACUCCAUGAACGCCAUCCAUGGCUCUGCUUUCUCCACCAUUCAUGUCACCCCUGAGGACGGCUUCAGCUAUGCUAGCUAUGAGGUCAUGGGGUUGGACCCUGCCUCCAUGGCCUAUGGUGACCUGGUCAAGAGGGUGCUGAGAUCCUUUGGCCCGUCUGAAUUUUCUGUUGCUGUGACCAUCUUCGGCGGUCACAGCCUUGCUGGCACCUGGGGGGAGAGGCUGAAUGUUGGGAUCUAUGAUAGUACCAACAUGGUCGUCCAGGAGCUGCCUGACGGGGGCGCUCUCAUCUACCAGAGCUUCACUGCUGUCGGCGAAGACUUCACCGGGUCACCAAGAUCUGUCCUGAAUUGCAACGUUGAUGGCAAUUUAGUUACUGGCUGCAAGAUGGAUGCUUUCCUUUGCUGGGAAGACGAUGCUGCGCAGGAGAAGGAUGAGAGGGGGGCUGGUAAGAAGAUGAAGAGCUCCUGA